rnacentral:rRNA from 1 species
GACAGAGGAUGCAAGCGUUAUCCGGAAUGAUUGGGCGUAAAGCGUCUGUAGGUGGCUUUUUAAGUCCGCCGUCAAAUCCCAGGGCUCAACCCUGGACAGGCGGUGGAAACUACCAAGCUGGAGUACGGUAGGGGCAGAGGGAAUUUCCGGUGGAGCGGUGAAAUGCGUAGAGAUGCGGAGGAACACCAGUGGCGAAAGCGACUUUCUGGUCCUUAACUGACGCUGAGGCGCGAAAGCAUGGGGAGCGAACGGGG